UGUCCAGGGAUGGGAAUCGAACCCACAUUGUUCCGCUUACUGGGCAGAUGCCAUAUCCACUAAGCUAUACUGGAC
rnacentral:tRNA from 1 species